GCACAUUUAAUUGCAACGUUGUUGCACAGUUACAUUAAACCAUACAUUUAUAAAAACAUUAGCAGGUGUUCACUUGCUGCUGCAUGGCACAUCACUUGCUGCUGCAGCCUGGCACAGGUCAGAGUAUUUUGGCGGUUGCCAUCUUCAAACGGUCGUAUUUUAAAAACUAUAAAUCCUACAGCGAAAAGCUUUAUAUUGUGAGAAUCACAAGACCCAUACCUACAUUUUGAUGCAUAGUAUGUCUCUGAAGUAUUAAAAAUGAAGGCACAGUCGCAGUUUAGAAAUUGCACUUCAAAUUUGAGCUUUGUAGAGUGAAGUUUCAAUGAAUGUCAAUGGACGGUGUUAGUUGCAAACAAAUGAUUAUAUUGUGAAAACUAUCAGGACUAUGGCUUAGCCGUUGACAUGUUUAGUGGCAGCAGGGAUAGCUGAACGUUUUGAUAUAAGAUUUGUGUAGGUGGGCUUAAAAAUGAGAGAGUGGUGGCAGUUUAGAAAUCAUGUCCUGAUUUUUCAGCUUUUGCCAGCUCCCACUCUAGCUUUGCCAUUCAUUCCUAUGGGACAAAUUACGCCACAAGAACGACGAUAUUCUGUGAACCAUUCGGCGAAACGUUCCACAAAGUAAUAGCAAUCCGAUCGGGAACAAUCUGCACGUUUUGGUAAAUUUUUGUCUAUGUAGUGUAAAAACUGUGGGAGGAGUUAGGGUGGCAAAUUUUGCUAUAAUAAUAAUAAUAAUAAUA